ACUGUUCCCGCACUGUAUAUGUUUUGACAAGUAAGAGAACCAAUUAAUUUGGUGUACAGUGCAAACUGCAGUUCAUAACUCAAAUUCUUCUUUCUACAUUGUGCAUGUCAAAAUUAAGUACAUGUAGCUGCCUAAUCAUUACUAUGGCCACAAAGUACACUCUAACAUAAUAACUACAGCGAUUCAGGAAUAUUUUACAUUACAUGUAUUUUACAUAUGCAUGUCACAGUACCUUACUUCCAGUCUUGUUUUUGUAGAGCAUGUCUUUCUGCACCUGUUUAUUCAGUCCCACUUCCUUCUUUUAUAAGUAUUUGUAUUGGUACUGGAUUAAGAGUUUCUGUGUAAUGGUACUGUACUUGGCUGUAUGACAUUAGUAAGAUUUUGAAUGGACAUUUCAACAGUGUUUUGCAGUGUCCAUAAAAUUUAAUCAAGCAGUGUACAUGUUCACAAAUAUCUGCUCUAAGACUCAAUAAUUUUAAUUUAAAAAAAAAAUAACAUUAGUUGGUUUGGAAGGAGCAAUGUACAUUGCCUCUCCAGGUGAUUGUUGCAGCAUUCAUGACAGGAAGCAGAGGGAAAACAGAAUGCUCAGUGGAUCACCGGGGGAGGCAAGUUUCACCUUAUCGUGAGGUAUAUGUAUUUGUUUCACAACAUCUCUACCACAGAUUCUGCCAUACAAGCAAUAACUGAUUAUUUAAUUUAAAUGAAAUUACAAUUGGAAUGGAAAACCUCUUAAUGUAAAUACAUGUAUGAAAUCUUUUGAAGGUUCAGUUGUCUCAGAAAAAUGUUUCCACCCUGCUAUAAUGGGUACAACCUGUAGAACUAUUUGCGCACAACCAGUCACUAUUAUGUUUAUGGCACACAAGUUGUUAUGGUUGGUGUUGCUAUGGUUGUUAAAGUUGCAGUACUUUGGUUACUAUUGGUGUAUUACUUCUUUUACACAGCAAGAAUGCAAAAUACCAAAGGCACAUGACUUGCCCUCGGCUAAUCAAGAUACAGAAUCCAGAGAUGAGGUGUUAAACUUACAAUGUCUCAGUAAUACUGUAGACCCAAAACUUGAUAAUUACAUACAUACAUGGUAGGAUGCUUCUCUCUCAGUUAAAAUUUGCAUUUAAGCAUGCUUUUUGAAUACUAUAGACCCUUCUCAUGGUGCCCAUCAUUGACUCAGUGCAUAAUGCAUGACUGGGUACUUUGUGGAUUGUAUUAAAUCAAAUGGGCAAACCUGCCCCCUGUCAUGGCUGCCAGUGCAGAAGGUCUAUAGAGUGUCAGCACAUCUUGUCAUUUCUACAAUAUAGUACUUAUGUCUCUAAUCAAAUGAUGACUGGAAGUGUCCUCCUUAAUUUUUCCAAAAAAGAUAUUGCUCAUAUUUGAAAAAACGUAUAUAGUUUGAAGAUUCUUUUAUUUAAUUUAGCGUAUCAAAAAAGUGAUUUGUUAUACAUGCAAUGUAGACCUGUAUUCUAAAUUGUAGCUGAACUUACAGUAUAAAAACAUCUUUUGAAAGACAUCUUUAGACACUCACUGUUCCCACAGCCCAAUCAACAUUUCUGUUAACAAUUCAUUAAUUUGUGACUGGCCAGGAUGCUUUACAUUUGAAAUCACUGUGGUGAAAUCAGCCAAAACCUGUUUCAGUAGUCUAUUGCAGGGUUUCAAGAUUUGGUUCAAAUUGAAUCUAUUUUUAGCCACUGGCCGCUUUUCAUUCGAGUGAAAUUGUUUAGUCAAGGCAGACUUCAGUUCUUUGGCGAUGGUCAUAUGACAUUUUAAUGGACUUUUGAUAUAGGCAUGGUUUGGAAGUGUCUUGACAUGAAAGCGUGGUAAAGUGAAGUUCUGAGAUAAACCUCAAGACAACUGCUUCAAUCAGCCAUGAAUGUUCUUCGCCCAGAUUAGUUGGAGACUAUGAUUUAAAUGUCAUGGCCUCUCUCCACUCAGACAAAGGAAUGUCUGAUGGAUUGUUGCAUGUUUUCUGACUCUAAGCACACAGAUACCUUUGGCAGUUAUCACAUUGUCUUCUGUCUACCCAUUGGAAGUAAAAACUAAGUACAUGUGCCAGUCAGGGCAGUAGGUCUACUCUGACCAUGGACUGUCACACUGCCUGUUAGACACUGGCAGGAAAUAAUGAACCUUUCUUGUAGCUACAUGUAUCUUGAUGUCUACAGUGGAAUUACUUAAUUGAAAAUGAAGGCAUGUGAAAAACUACCUUAAUGUGUCACCAUAUUGCAGUGAAGCAAAGAGGCCAGGGAAAGUCCUUCAUUAGUUGUUUUGUUAUUUGUCACAAUAAUCGUGUAAUUAAGUAGAAAUAGAACUCUGUAAUUUUAACGGUGCAUCAAACUGCCAGUAAGUGAAAAUGGAACUGGAAAGUUAUGUUUCCUGUCUCUGUCCUAAAAGAGCAAGUGAAAACCUAGAGAGUGCAAGUUUGGCACUGCAUAAAAUGGACAUGUUAUUAUGCCUGACAGCAAAUGGUGAUGUUAUAGAGCCUUCAGGAAGACACUUCCAUCAAACAUGUUUGACAUUGGCCCAAGAAGUAAGCACUUUUAAGUGGGUUUGGAUGAGACUGGCUCCCUGGAAUGGCCUCACAUCAGGGUGUUAGCUGGGUGUAAAUCCCUGGCUGACGGAGACAGUGUACAUCCUUGCCUUAUGUGAAGGUUUAUGGAUAGUGUGAGUUGAUGGGCUUUGGAGCAGCUCUUACUAAAUGGUCAGUCGACUACUUUUUAAGAAUUUUUUUCAUUUCACUCAUCAGGGUUGUUGUAUAGUAAUACUCCAUGUUGGAUAAGACAGCUUCAUACAUCUAUCUAUUGGUGUCCAUUUCUAUUGUUUGGUCCAUAAAGAUUUGAAUGAAGGCUAGUAUUACUUUUGGUUACAUACAUGUACAUGAUAAAAAUAUUAAACACAAGGUUUCGGUAAUAACGUGUAAACAGGUAGUUCUCUAUUUAGUGUGUAUGGUUCUGAUAGAAUUGGAGGUUUCACCCGACAUACUGGUACAUGAUGAUGAUGUAUACACACUGUACACUCACCCACAAAGACAAACGGCACACUGUUUGAAAUGCCAAGUGAAUGCUCUGGUUCUUUCUGUUUUAGGGUUUCAACACCUUUCUAAAGGGGUCAGGUGGAUUAAAUCCUGGUGUUAGGGGAGAAAGUGUGCUCUUGUCCCUCAAAACUGCCUCAAAUCUGGGUGGUAUACAGUAGCUGGGUCAUUGUCUCUGACUGACAUGGGCAGUGCAUCUCAAAAUGAAAAUUAUUGAAGUUUGAAAGGGCAAUGUGUGUGUUCAUUGACACUGCAGUCAUUGUUUUAUGGAGACUGUGUCAAAAUCUGUUUCACUCUCCUCUUGAAAUGCCAAAUGCUAGAUAGUCGGCAGUUGAAACAACAUGGAUGAUGUGACUCAUUUACUUAAAGAGUAGGAGGUGGACUGAAAGUAACUGGCAAUGCAGCAAGACAUUUUUUUGAAAGACAAAGCUGAUUAAAUAGUUCUGACAACUCAAGCCUCAUCUGAGAGGAAAGCAGACAUACAUGUACACGUACAUGUAUAUGUACGUUAGCAUGUGUACCACAUGUCUGUGACAUCAGACAAAACAAGUUUAACCUAAUUUCUCUUUUGCCUCUGAAAAAUAGAGUUCAGUAACGAAAAAGGCAUGCUUAAGUACUUUUCAACUUGCACUCAUCCGAGCGUAAUGCGAGAAAGACAUGUAAGCAGCCACCCCACUCAAAGAAAGACUUGUGGCAAAUACCUAAGCCAUAGGGCAACCCUUGCUUGGUCACCUGGAAUGCUCUGAACAAGAAAACGAGCAGCAGUUGAAUGUACCAGCCAAAGCACACAAUUUCAGUCAUCUGCGCAUACUUGAGGCUACCUAUAUUGACAUUACUAAACCAGCUCUCUGCCAUCAGAAAGAAAUGGUCUGCACACUCCAUGUCACAUAAUCCUUUGUUCCGUUGACCUAUUAACACUUAGUAUUUGAACACGUGAUUCCAGCCUUGUAGCACUGGCCAUAAGCGCCGAUUGUCAUUCUUGCGUUAGGCUCUCAUGAGUGCAAGUUGAAAAACUAAACUCUAUUUUCCGAUUUUGUAGUACCAAACAUCUAUUCUUUUGCCUCCUUGUACUUGUACUAUGGAGGCUAAGCAUUGCAGUCAUAUUUCUGGUAAGAGCUUUUGCUCCACAGGGAUACACAUGAGUAGACAUUUUGUGUCAUUCCUCUAUAACAGCAGUAGUUACCAGAAAGAUGGGUGCUGGGCAAAACCUAUAUAUGCCUACAUGUCUGGCUCUCUGUUGUCUCAGGCAGUGAAAUUAACAGACAAAUUUCAUACAGUUCCAAUGGGAAUCCUUUGUUUGUCUCUCAAAGAGCUGCGCAGAAAUACUUCUUUGUUCUUUCUUUUGCAUCUUUCUGUAUGUAUAUACAAAACAGUCCUCUCAGAGCCGUUGAAUUAAAAAUACCUACCUCCCAUAUUGGAGUCUUUCACGGCUUUUGGGCAUGGAUAUUUUUUAUGGUUCCAUCCUUCAUUUUUGAGACACCUUGGCUUUGAAGUGACAUGUGUACCCCGUGUUGUCCAUCCAUUUGAAACUCUGUCCUGAUCUGAUGCACAAUGGUCAGCUUGACUGUGCUCUCGAAACUUAAUUGUUACCAUCCCUUCAGGUCAAUCCUUCCAAUUCACUUGAAUCAUGCAAGAAGCCCUGAUAUCAUUACCUUCAAGAUAUUCCAUCAAUGUAACUGAAGAAAAAUACUUAUCAAAACACACCUCAUUAUGUCUACUUCAUCAAAGAUUUCUCUCAAUUUGGCCUUAUUUUCAUUGUUUUUUUAAGCCACGGAUGGCUCCUUUGCAACCCUCCUCGCAGUGCCGCGGCUGCAUACAUGGCUUUCUCAUUGCUCAUGAACAAUCAGUGUGAAAUAGUCUCAUUCAGUAGCUUUGCACAUGUUCGCCGUGGAAGAUGCAAAGGCACAGAGGACAGAACUGUGUUCUUGAUGAAAUGCACUUCAUUUUAGUACAUUUUUAGGGGGAUUGUUUGCUAAAACUUCAUAAUAAGAGCCUUUGAAAUAUUUCAUCAAUAUUUUCCCAGAACAAAGCUUCUUAACCACCAUAAUUUUGACCAUAAUAUAGCUCUCUAACUACUUUAACCUUUGACACUCCAUCUGCUUUCAUAUAUUCAUCUGUGCGAAUGCAUCAUUCAUAAAAACGAAGCACUCUGAAACGGUCCCCCAAAUAUUUAGGUUCAACUUGAUUUAUCCUCUCAACAGUAUGUAAGACGAGCAUUUUGGUAUAGAAAACAGCCAACUAGCUUGAGAAGUAGAAGGAGGCCAAGUAGAGUCGGCUCAAUUGGCCAAGUCAGACAGCAGAGCUGGCUCAGUAAUUCUCAAUAUGCAAAUACAUUCCCUUUCUGUGCAUCUGUCUUGUUGACACCUUCUGGUGCAUAAAGUUAUCUUUGAAACAAGGGCUACUGUGUCGCAACCUGUUGUACUCAUAAUGAAAGUCUAAUGCUGGGCAGAUUUUGCAUAAUACCAAAAGAUCAAACUACCUGUUUGUAAUUGUAUGAGAAAUUACAAACCUCUGACAUUUUGCCUGUGACUGGUAUUGCCUUGAGCGGUGAUGACCUUUUAGCUCAAACAUUGAUGAGUGGUAGUAUGGCUGGACAUAUCAGGAGAAUUGACUCCCUGAUUAACUCUUCUGGCAUCGAUAUCUUUGAAGUGUUGAACACUUGUGUCUGGGAUGUUGUUAGUUCCGUGUGCAGUUGUAGUCAGAAUUUCAAAAUUGUUUCUGGUAGUGUUCAUUGGACAGGGGACAUCACAAAUGAAAUUGACUUUCCGAGAUGGAUCGAUGUGACUCUCGGUGGAGUACAUUGGGCACUGUGAUGGUGUAGCAGCUUGCUGGGACUUUGAAUCAUGCAGACAGUAGAAUGUUCUGUUUGAGGAUGCCCCUUCAGAAACAAAACCUCGGACUGUCACCCCAGCUGUCUCAAUGAAGUUAACACACUCCCACAAACACGGCUAUAGCUGGUCUACAGUGGCACCAGUUGUGGGGUAAACUGCCACCAGAAUGUGCAGUGAACUGUCAAGGCCCCACCUAUGCCUCCUCCUCUCCUCCCUUGCACCUGCAUUCAAAGCUGCUGAUCUCAUGUGAAAUCUCACCUUCAUCAGUGAAUCUGACGAUCUGUCCUGCGUUUCGUUUAUUUUCAUCUCUUCAAACAAAAGAACUGUGUUGUUCUCAUUGCUGUCAGGGGUCAAGACAAUCUUGUUCUCAUCAACAACCUGCUUUAACAUUUCCAUGCGCAUAACACAGCUUAUGAGUGCUUAAACUGUAAUCAUCUUCCACGUUUCGAAUAAGUACUGAAAUAGUGCUUCCUUGUUUGAACCAAAGGACAGAAAUUUCUUCCAUUGUUUUGGAAUGGUCUGCCCACACGCACGCAUCACAUAGGAACCCAUAGAAGCUCUUUUUGCUCUUUCUGCAUUCUUGAUGGAUAUGUCUCUGUAGGUGCUACAUAGUGAAUCUCAUUUGAUCCAGUUGUUACAGCAAGUUUCACAAGCCUUCUGAGCAACACAUGAGCAAGGUUUGAGAAGGUGCAAUGGCCCUCAAGCUUGUUAACAUCCAGUUUUUGUAUCAUGGCCUUGGCAUCAACUACAUAGACACCACCUCUUGGAAUAUGUACAGCAGCUUUCUCUGGUUGACUUUAAGCAUGUGUAAUGUCUGCGUUUUGUUUUCACAAGACAUCCCUGCAGAGAGGCUAAAGCAAGAGGAAGAGGACCUUAGGAAUAACGUAGGAGUUCACGUUGAUCCACUUUUUGGAAUUUUCAGAUUGCUUCUAGCCUGGUAAGAGGAUGUCUAUCAACUUUCAGUGUAACCUCCUUUCCAUUGACUUUGCUCUUUACUUUUUACUGAAUGUCGUGAGUUUCAAUUUCUUCAUCCAUGUCUGCUGACUGUAGCUGAUUUUGGCAGAACUUAAAUAGUUCAGUCUCUCCUUUUUCAUAUGGCAACAAGAGAUCAACUUCUACAUCUUCAGAAGCUACUAUGCCAGAUACAAUGUGGACUAGAUUCACCUCUUCAUCAGAUUCAAAAGGAUUUAUCAUGCCGGUGAUGGUAUUCACAAUCUUCUGAACAUCUGUCUUAUCACGCUUUAUACAACUUUGAAGGAUGUCUGUCCUAGUGCAGCCUCUGUCUUCUUUGUAUUUUGUUGAAAUAGGUAUUCCUUUAGGGGCUUGGCCCACUCUUUGGGCUGUUUUUAUACAAUUUAAGGGCCAUUUUGUUCUGAUAGAUUCCGUGAGUAUAUGUAGCAUGUACCAUAAAGUUAGAGCACAGUAGUGGGGAGCGCUCAUGCAUAACCAAGUAGUGAAUCAUCUUUUGGACCAAAGAUUAGCGUAUCAAUUUAGGUGAUGGAAUCGAUUAUGUCUAUGGUAAAAUGAGUCAGAAUUAAUAUGUUUAUCAAUAGCAGAAGAAUUUUUUCAGUCAUCGUAUUAAUGAAGGUAUUUAACUUUGAGCAAAAUGCACUUACAUGUAGAAGUCAUAGACAUACAAGUCUGUAGUGUAACAAGCCAUGUGUGUAUAUAACUCCCAUUAUCAAAAAUGUUUUCUGACUGUGUGACUAAUUUUCUUGCAUUUACUGGCAAUCUUGCUUUAUGGAUUCUGAUACCACCACACCACACUCAUCCAGUGUCAUUUUGUCUUCAUUUUUACAGUUUUCAUCUUUAAUGUACACCUUACUCCAGUGGCUGUUUGGGGUUGCAUCGUCUUCUUGAGUCAUCCUAUGCUAUUUCAAAAUCAAGAAAGGACCAUGAUUUGAUGUCUGAUCAAUACGAAAUAAUUGAUGGGAAUGUAUCCAAUCAGCAUUAAUUUAUGAAGUUAUUCACACGUUUCCUCUUUUUAAAAUUUGUUUUGCUCAAAAGGUUUUCUGAUCUGAUUGUGAUUGUGCUAACCAGUUACACUACAUGUAAUUUUAUGGAAAUCUCUUUGAAUGUUUGCUUCCUGUGAUGUACUUUAAAGGAAUACGUAUCUCUUGCAUAAGUUAUGUAAAAUCACAACGCAUAUGCAUGAGGACAGGAGCCAAUCAGGGUAAAGUGUUGUUUUUGUUAUUGCAGCUCACCGCCAGAAAGAUCAACGAAUUCACCCCCUGCUGUUCAAGAUGGAUAUUACAGGACACCUACCUCAUCCUACAAUGCUGCUGGUACUCGUCAUGAAGAGCGAAGGGAGCAUUGCCACUGAUGUAUGCACCUGCAAAGCUGAAGUGGUUAUCCCAAGCUGAUCCCAACUGAGCUGACUUGAGGGACUAGAGCNAGCACAUGAUUAACUGUGCUGAAGAUCACAGUACAUCUUACCUGUACACCUACUGUCAAAGUGUAGCUGGGGAUGAGGAUGAGCAGUGUGGGAGCGAAGGCUCAAGGCUAAAGUUGAUCAGGAGUCACAAGCCGGUCGACUGCCGGAGGAAGUGGUGUCAGGCAACCCCAGUUGGAUCGAGACUGCAGAGCCAAAGAAGUUUACCCCAAAUGCUCUUACACGAGAUGAGACCAGCGAUGUAGAUGGAAAGCUACAUGUAUGUCAGAAAAGUGGGAACUCAUAUCCAAUCUAUACAGACCAUAUUUGUGUUCCGUGCAUCCGAAGAAAGUCGAUGAAAUUUGUAGAAAACAAUGUUAUGGCUAUAAUUUGCCCAUAAAGGAACAGUGUAAUGCAAAAACCUUACUAGUGUCUCAUAGAUGCAGUGCCAGAAGAAUAGUGAAAUUGUAGACAAAAUGAGUCUGUGUAACAUAGAAUGGAAUAAAAAGUCCAAGUUACAGGGAAUAAAAAAAUUUCGGCACAUUUUCCAACCGUAUUUGAUACAAACUGUAUUUCUGACAAGUAUGUAGCCAUGUUUGUAAAACUCUCUUCUCUAUUUCCUUAAGAAAGAAUGUUUAAAUAUUUGUUGCAGUACAGUUGAAGCUCAUUCAUAAAUACCUCAGACAGUUUCCCUUUCAACAACGUGCAACUUGACCGUGUAUUAACAUUUGAUAAUGCCCGCUGAGAAGUGAUACUGCCUGCUGCAUAAACCACGCACUGGCACCUGGAUACAAGACAGUUUACAUGUUAUUAGUUUUGAUUGGUCGAGUGUGUGCACACAGCUCAGCACGUGCAUUUCAAGUCCAUAUCUGGAGAUUCUUUUGGACAACUAUUAAAUAAAAAGGAUGGGGUGUUCAGGAAAAUGAACGAAAAGUUCUACAACAAAUAUUGGAAAUUCAUCAAAUGUUGACUCCAUUUGACACUGACUAAAAAGGUACUUAUGAAUGGGAAUAAAUAUGUUCUCAGGAGACUGAACGCUGAUAAUUAAUGCCCUCACCUGCGGAUUAGGCAUUAUCACGGUGUCCUUUCUCCUUAGCUGGCCUUAAAUGCAUGUUUAAGCCAGCCAAGCACAUAUAUCCCUUAUUAUAAAGCAUUUAUAAGGAUUGAGAAAACUAGGUAUAGUUGUGGGUCUUUCCAUGAUAAUAGGUUUUUUUUAUAUAUAACAAGUAAACAAAUCAAAAGGUUGGUUUGACAUUAAUUGUUCACAUUAUUCACUUUGAAAGUUAAGAAUAGAUAACAUUUUUAUCUACAAAAUGGUUGAGGUCUGUCAAACUUGGGAAACCAUGGAGGGUAACACUACAAACAGGGACUGAAACAGGCACCCAGAAGGGAAAUUACAAACGCAAUACAGUAACAAGUCUCAGUAGAAUUUAUCACAGUUUACAACUGUAGAAUAAAUGACAAUACAUACAUUGUAGAUUACAAUGGUAAACAGUCAUACACGGUGGUAGAAUUCAUUGUUGAAUGGAGAUACCAUCACCUAAAGUUCUAGAGACUGGCAUUCAUCUGUUAUGUUGCUUUGUAAAAAGAAAAAAAUGCAACUGUUCAUUCUUAUGAAGUAUGUUGUGAAGCUUUUCCUAAAUGAAGAUGGUGUAUCCGAGAGACAGGUUAAUUUAAAAUUUGUCAUAACUUUUGUUUUCUCAAAAUAACAAAGGUUCCUCUCGUAUUUAGGGUGAAUGGCAAUGACUGUAACAGGGACAGUGGGUUCAUAUCAGAUACCUUUCUUAUGAAAAAUGUGUACAUAUUAUUUUGAAAAUCUGUAAAUGUUGCAAUUAAAUAAUGAGGUAUUCUUCUAUUAGAUGUUACUCCAUUUGUUGCUUCUCUUAGUAAAGACUUGAUGUUGCCAUUGGUAACAUGGACUGUUUAUGAAUAUCAGCCCCCCCUCCUCAGGUUAAUUGCGUACAUAUUACUGUUACAUUGUUUAAUGAACGUAGCAAUUUAAUAUGAAAGGAAUUACAGAAUAACUGCUAUUUUAAUGAAAGUAUAAAUCAUUUGCAGUAAACACCAUGUGGAUUUCUUUUGGAAGAGGGAUGGCUCUGAUAACCAGUGUGUACUUGAUGUUUUCAUCAGUGUGCUCUGGUUGUCCACUUCUGAGGAUGACCGGCGCACACUGGUUGAAAAUACAACCGUUAAGCACUGUGUGAUGAAUCAUUGUACGUUUUAUAUUGUAACAUGAAAUGUACGACUACUUGCUUUAGUUCUUAAUCAGUGAGAUCCAAUUGGUUUAUACAGCAAGGGGGUGCAUCUUAAAUCACCUACUGGGCAAUUCUGCAUUCUGAUUGGCUGGUGCAUUUAAUGUAGUUUGGGCAAUAAUGUGAAGGCCUAAUAGGGAUUGUUGUGAUGUGGCCUGUAAAAGGCAGUGCAUGGAGAUUAAAACUUCACUUCCAGAACUGAUUCUGAAAAGAUGGGAAGUGGCGACAGAAUAUAAGUCAAAUAGUUUCCCUGUGGCCAUUUUCUUGUUGUCUAGUCUGCCCGUGCCGUCCACAGGAGAAUAUAAUCCACCAAGUCCACAGGUACAUGUAAUCCACAAAAUCCCCAGGUAUAUGCAAUCCACAAAAUGCAAUCCACGGAAUCCCAGGUCCACUCAUCCCCUAAAUAAUAUGUUCUAAUAAUAGUUCUAUGCAUAUUUCCUCUGUGUGUAUGUUCCAACAGCAUGAAUGGAUGGCACAUGAUGGUGCAGGGUCCCAUGAGAGGUUUGCCUUUUGUUGAUCGUGGAUAUUCAUGAAGUAUAGUUGCAUUAGAAUAUUCCAGAAAACUCGGAUUAAGUACGGAUCAGAUGAGUGAUGUCCCAUUGUGUUGAAACAAAAUGAUUUUUGAUAGGAUUAUUCAAUAACUUGUAAGAUAUGGAACUGAAGCAGUGACAGUGUGAUACAGCUACUGAAUAAAAUUAUUCAAGAAAGA